CUUUUAAAUGUACACUUGGGAGCUGGAGUUCCGCAAUGGAACUCAAUUUGACCCAUAGCAUUGGGUUAACGGCUAUAGGAUCACAGAUCUUGGGGUUUAAAUCGCUAGGAACCGUUUCCUUCUGUGAGAGCUUAUAGUAUCUAGUCCUUUGCUUUCUUCCAUUUUCUUAUUAUUAUUAUUAUUUAUUCUACUAGUCCUGUGUUUAUUUGCAUAUCUAUUUGGUGU
rnacentral:lncRNA from 1 species